CCUAUCAUGCAGUCGAGCGCGGGAAGCGAGUGGAUCCCUUCGGGGUGAAGCUCGUGGAACGAGCGGCGGACGGGUGAGUAACACGUGGGCAACCUGCCUGUAAGACCGGAAUAACCCCGGGAAACCGGGGCUAAUGCCGGGUAAUACUUUUCUUCGCAUGAAGGAAAGUUGAAAGAUGGCUUCUCGCUAUCACUUACAGAUGGGCCCGCGGCGCAUUAGCUAGUUGGUGAGGUAACGGCUCACCAAGGCGACGAUGCGUAGCCGACCUGAGAGGGUGAUCGGCCACACUGGGACUGAGACACGGCCCAGACUCCUACGGGAGGCAGCAGUAGGGAAUCUUCCGCAAUGGACGAAAGUCUGACGGAGCAACGCCGCGUGAACGAUGAAGGUCUUCGGAUCGUAAAGUUCUGUUGUUAGGGAAGAACAAGUACCGUGCGAAUAGAGCGGUACCUUGACGGUACCUAACGAGGAAGCCCCGGCUAACUACGUGCCAGCAGCCGCGGUAAUACGUAGGGGGCAAGCGUUGUCCGGAAUUAUUGGGCGUAAAGCGCGCGCAGGCGGUUCCUUAAGUCUGAUGUGAAAGCCCACGGCUCAACCGUGGAGGGUCAUUGGAAACUGGGGAACUUGAGGACAGAAGAGGAGAGUGGAAUUCCACGUGUAGCGGUGAAAUGCGUAGAUAUGUGGAGGAACACCAGUGGCGAAGGCGACUCUCUGGUCUGUUUCUGACGCUGAGGUGCGAAAGCGUGGGUAGCAAACAGGAUUAGAUACCCUGGUAGUCCACGCCGUAAACGAUGAGUGCUAGGUGUUAGGGGGCUUCCACCCCUUAGUGCUGAAGUUAACGCA
rnacentral:rRNA from 1 species